rnacentral:misc_RNA from 1 species
GGAUGAAGAACGCAGCGAAAUGCGAUAAGUAGUGUGAAUUGCAGAAUUCAGUGAAUCAUCGAAUCUUUGAACGCACAUUGCGCCCUUUGGUAUUCCUUAGGGCAUGCCUGUUCGAGCGUCAUUUAAACCUUCAAGCUAAGCUUGGUGUUGGGUGACUGUCCGCUUCACGGCGGACUCGCCUCAAAAUUAUUGGCGGCCGGUACAUUGGCUUCGAGCGCAGCAGAAACGCGAACUCGGGCCCGUCGUAUUGGCUCCCAGAAGCUAUCUUCACAAUUUUGACCUCGGAUCAGGUAGGGAUACCCGCUGAACUUAAGCAUAUCAAUAAGCGGAGGA